rnacentral:rRNA from 1 species
GGUCAAGUGAAGAAGCGCAUACGGUGGAUGCCUUGGCAGUCAGAGGCGAUGAAAGACGUGGUAGCCUGCGAAAAGCUUCGGGGAGUCGGCAAACAGACUUUGAUCCGGAGAUGUCUGAAUGGGGGAACCCAGCCAUCAUAAGAUGGUUAUCUUACGCUGAAUACAUAGGCGUAAGAGGCGAACCAGGGGAACUGAAACAUCUAAGUACCCUGAGGAAAAGAAAUCAACCGAGAUUCCCUUAGUAGUGGCGAGCGAACGGGGACUAGCCCUUAAGUGGCUUUGAGAUUAGCGGAACGCUCUGGAAAGUGCGGCCAUAGUGGGUGAUAGCCCUGUACGCGAAAAUCUCUUAGUCAUGAAAUCGAGUAGGACGGAGCACGAGAAACUUUGUCUGAAUAUGGGGGACCAUCCUCCAAGGCUAAAUACUACUGACUGACCGAUAGUGAACUAGUACCGUGAGGGAAAGGCGAAAAGAACCCCGGAGAGGGGAGUGAAAUAGAUCCUGAAACCGUAUGCGUACAAGCAGUGGGAGCCCACUUUGUUGGGUGACUGCGUACCUUUUGUAUAAUGGGUCAGCGACUUAUUUUCAGUGGCGAGCUUAACCGAAUAGGGGAGGCGUAGCGAAAGCGAGUCUUAAUAGGGCGUCUAGUCGCUGGGAAUAGACCCGAAACCGGGCGAUCUAUCCAUGGGCAGGUUGAAGGUUGGGUAACACUAACUGGAGGACCGAACCGACUACCGUUGAAAAGUUAGCGGAUGACCUGUGGAUCGGAGUGAAAGGCUAAUCAAGCUCGGAGAUAGCUGGUUCUCCUCGAAAGCUAUUUAGGUAGCGCCUCAUGUAUCACUGUAGGGGGUAGAGCACUGUUUCGGCUAGGGGGUCAUCCCGACUUACCAAACCGAUGCAAACUCCGAAUACCUACAAGUGCCGAGCAUGGGAGACACACGGCGGGUGCUAACGUCCGUCGUGAAAAGGGAAACAACCCAGACCGUCAGCUAAGGUCCCAAAGUUAUGGUUAAGUGGGAAACGAUGUGGGAAGGCUUAGACAGCUAGGAGGUUGGCUUAGAAGCAGCCACCCUUUAAAGAAAGCGUAAUAGCUCACUAGUCGAGUCGGCCUGCGCGGAAGAUGUAACGGGGCUCAAACCAUACACCGAAGCUACGGGUAUCAUCUUCGGAUGAUGCGGUAGAGGAGCGUUCUGUAAGCCUGUGAAGGUGAGUUGAGAAGCUUGCUGGAGGUAUCAGAAGUGCGAAUGCUGACAUGAGUAACGACAAUGGGUGUGAAAAACACCCACGCCGAAAGACCAAGGUUUCCUGCGCAACGUUAAUCGACGCAGGGUUAGUCGGUCCCUAAGGCGAGGCUGAAAAGCGUAGUCGAUGGAAAACAGGUUAAUAUUCCUGUACUUCUGGUUAUUGCGAUGGAGGGACGGAGAAGGCUAGGCCAGCUUGGCGUUGGUUGUCCAAGUUUAAGGUGGUAGGCUGGAAUCUUAGGUAAAUCCGGGAUUCUAAGGCCGAGAGCUGAUGACGAGUUACCCUUUGGGUGACGAAGUGGUUGAUGCCAUGCUUCCAAGAAAAGCUUCUAAGCUUCAGGUAACCAGGAACCGUACCCCAAACCGACACAGGUGGUUGGGUAGAGAAUACCAAGGCGCUUGAGAGAACUCGGGUGAAGGAACUAGGCAAAAUGGCACCGUAACUUCGGGAGAAGGUGCGCCGGUGAGGGUGAAGGACUUGCUCCGUAAGCUCAUGCCGGUCGAAGAUACCAGGCCGCUGCGACUGUUUAUUAAAAACACAGCACUCUGCAAACACGAAAGUGGACGUAUAGGGUGUGACGCCUGCCCGGUGCCGGAAGGUUAAUUGAUGGGGUUAGCUAACGCGAAGCUCUUGAUCGAAGCCCCGGUAAACGGCGGCCGUAACUAUAACGGUCCUAAGGUAGCGAAAUUCCUUGUCGGGUAAGUUCCGACCUGCACGAAUGGCGUAACGAUGGCGGCGCUGUCUCCACCCGAGACUCAGUGAAAUUGAAAUCGCUGUGAAGAUGCAGUGUAUCCGCGGCUAGACGGAAAGACCCCGUGAACCUUUACUAUAGCUUUGCACUGGACUUUGAAUUUGCUUGUGUAGGAUAGGUGGGAGGCUUUGAAGCGUGGACGCCAGUUCGCGUGGAGCCAACCUUGAAAUACCACCCUGGCAACUUUGAGGUUCUAACUCAGGUCCGUUAUCCGGAUCGAGGACAGUGUAUGGUGGGUAGUUUGACUGGGGCGGUCUCCUCCUAAAGAGUAACGGAGGAGUACGAAGGUGCGCUCAGACCGGUCGGAAAUCGGUCGUAGAGUAUAAAGGCAAAAGCGCGCUUGACUGCGAGACAGACACGUCGAGCAGGUACGAAAGUAGGUCUUAGUGAUCCGGUGGUUCUGUAUGGAAGGGCCAUCGCUCAACGGAUAAAAGGUACUCCGGGGAUAACAGGCUGAUACCGCCCAAGAGUUCAUAUCGACGGCGGUGUUUGGCACCUCGAUGUCGGCUCAUCACAUCCUGGGGCUGAAGCCGGUCCCAAGGGUAUGGCUGUUCGCCAUUUAAAGUGGUACGCGAGCUGGGUUUAGAACGUCGUGAGACAGUUCGGUCCCUAUCUGCCGUGGACGUUUGAGAUUUGAGAGGGGCUGCUCCUAGUACGAGAGGACCGGAGUGGACGAACCUCUGGUGUUCCGGUUGUCACGCCAGUGGCAUUGCCGGGUAGCUAUGUUCGGAAUAGAUAACCGCUGAAAGCAUCUAAGCGGGAAACUAGCCUCAAGAUGAGAUCUCACUGGAACCUUGAGUUCCCUGAAGGGCCGUCGAAGACUACGACGUUGAUAGGUUGGGUGUGUAAGCGCUGUGAGGCGUUGAGCUAACCAAUACUAAUUGCCCGUGAGGCUUGACCAU